AUUGAACGCUGGCGGCAUGCCUUACACAUGCAAGUCGAGCGGCAGCGCGGGGGCAAACCCUGGCGGCGAAGCGGCGAAACGGGUGAGUAAUGCAUCGGAACGUGUCCUCUUGUGGGGGAUAACCAGUCGAAAGACUGGCUAAUACCGCAUGAGAUCGAGAGAUGAAAGCAGGGGACCGCAAGGCCUUGCGCGAGAGGAGCGGCCGAUGCCGGAUUAGCUAGUUGGUGGGGUAAAAGCCUACCAAGGCGACGAUCCGUAGCUGGUCUGAGAGGACGACCAGCCACACUGGGACUGAGACACGGCCCAGACUCCUACGGGAGGCAGCAGUGGGGAAUUUUGGACAAUGGGGGCAACCCUGAUCCAGCCAUGCCGCGUGUGUGAAGAAGGCCUUCGGGUUGUAAAGCACUUUCGGCCGGAACGAAAUCGCACGAUCUAAUAAGUCGUGUGGAUGACGGUACCGGAAGAAGAAGCACCGGGCUAACUACGUGCCCAGCAGCCGCGGUAA
rnacentral:rRNA from 1 species